CGGGUUCGAUCCCCGGCAACGGCGCCA
rnacentral:ncRNA from 2 species